rnacentral:rRNA from 1 species
CCUACGGGAGGCAGCAGUGAGGAAUAUUGGUCAAUGGACGAGAGUCUGAACCAGCCAAGUAGCGUGAAGGAUGACUGCCCUAUGGGUUGUAAACUUCUUUUAUAUGGGAAUAAAAUGUUCCACGUGUGGGAUUUUGUAUGUACCAUAUGAAUAAGGAUCGGCUAACUCCGUGCCAGCAGCCGCGGUAAUACGGAGGAUCCGAGCGUUAUCCGGAUUUAUUGGGUUUAAAGGGAGCGUAGGUGGAUUGUUAAGUCAGUUGUGAAAGUUUGCGGCUCAACCGUAAAAUUGCAGUUGAAACUGGCAGUCUUGAGUACAGUAGAGGUGGGCGGAAUUCGUGGUGUAGCGGUGAAAUGCUUAGAUAUCACGAAGAACUCCGAUUGCGAAGGCAGUUCACUGGACUGCAACUGACACUGAGGCUCGAAAGUAUGGGUAUCAAACAGGAUUAGAUACCCCUGUAGUC